GAGAAGUCUCCCAGUGAGUUUUUUCACCCUUACUGUUCUGUAGCUAUCACUCUUUAACCUCCAAAGUCUUCCCUGUGAUACUUUCAGGUUUUAAACUGCACUGAAUGCCUCUGGUAUGGUGUAAAAAUGAUGGUAUCUGUGGCUAAUGGGUGUCAUGUUCAUGGUCGUAUAUGUACAGAGGGAAAUUUAUGUUCAAACAUUUGUACUACGACUACGACUGUUUGGUAUUCCACUAUUGCUUGCUCUACAAGACAACAUAAGGGAAAAUCAUAGAAUCAUAGAAUGGCUUGGGUUGAAAAGGACCUAAGAGGUCAUCUAUAUGGUAUGAAUUAGGUCAGCAGUUGCUCCACAACAUAUCUCAUCAUGUGGAGGGACAUGAAUUUGUGGGGAGUUGGCUCAGGGCAGCCACUGCUUGUGUUGAUUGGCAGGGGGUGAGACCUAGUGAUGGUGGUGGGGCUUUGAUUGGUGGCAACUGUAUUGUAAGCUGGAUAUUGGUUGGCAGGUGGUGAGUGAAUUUAAGUUGCCCCAGAAGUAAUGCCUCUUAUUUAUUUCCCUGGAGACUACAACAGAUACAAAGAGCACAAUAACAUCAUUUGAUAGAGAAAAUUAUCAGCUGCAAAACACUGUUUUUCAACAUAGCAGCCACCACUAGUGAUGCAAUUUUUGCCAGUGCUGAACAAGAGCCUGCCAACCAUGCUCAUAAGAAUCUGUAUGGCCAUCCAGUAUGCAGCAUGAAUUACAUAUGACUGUCACCACUGCUGAAACGCAUCACCCACCACCUCACUGCACUGACACUCACUGUGAGUGAAUGGCUGUGCAGUGCUUACCUGCCUACCAGCUUACACCACAGCAAUAUGGAAAGGAGAUCAUAGAAUCGUAGAAUGGCCUGGGCUGAAAAGGACCACAGUGAUCAUCUAGUUUCAACCCCCCUACUGUGUGCAGGAUUGCCAACCACCAGACCAGGCUGCCCAGAGCCACAUCCAGCCUGGCCUUGAAUGCCUCCAGGGAUGGGG
ensembl:lncRNA